rnacentral:rRNA from 1 species
AGCAUAUCAAUAAGCGGAGGAAAAGAAACCAACAGGGAUUGCCCCAGUAACGGCGAAGUGAAGCGGCAACAGCUCCAAAUUUGAAAUCUGGCCCUCGGGUCCGAGUUGUAAUUUGGAGAGGAUGCUUUUGGCGCGGCGCCGUCCCGAGUUCCUUGGAACAGGACGCCAUAGAGGGUGAGAGCCCCGUACGGGCGGCCGCCUAGCCUUUGUAAAGCUCCUUCGACGAGUCGAGUAGUUUGGGAAUGCUGCUCAAAAUGGGAGGUAAAUUUCUUCUAAAGCUAAAUACCGGCCAGAGACCGAUAGCGCACAAGUAGAGUGAUCGAAAGAUGAAAAGCACUUUGAAAAGAGGGUUAAAAAGUACGUGAAAUUGUUGAAAGGGAAGCGCCUGUGACCAGACUUGCGGCCCGUGGAUCAUCCGGUGUUCUUCACCGGUGCACUCCGCGGGCUGCAGGCCAGCAUCGGUUUUCCUAGGGGGAUAAAGGUCGCGGGAACGUAGCUCCCUCGGGAGUGUUAUAGCCCGUGGCGUCAUGCCUCUGGGGGGACCGAGGACCGCGCUUCGGCAAGGAUGCUGGCGUAAUGGUCACCGGCGACCCGUCUUGAAACACGGACCAAGGAGUCAAGCAUUGGGGCGAGUGUCUGGGUGCCAAACCCGCACGCGAAAUGAAAGUAAACGCAGGUGAGAGCUUCGGCGCAUCACCGACCGAUCCUGAUGUUCUCGGAUGGAUUUGAGUAAGAGCCUUACCGCUUGGACCCGAAAGAUGGUGAACUAUGCCUGUAUAGGGUGAAGCCAGAGGAAACUCUGGUGGAGGCUCGCAGCGGUUCUGACGUGCAAAUCGAUCGUCAAAUAUGGGCAUGGGGGGCGAAAGACUAAUCGAACCAUCUAGUAGCUGGGUUACCCGACCGAA